GCCAUGCCGCGUUGGUUUGUCGUCCCUUCCCACCCCUGGAUCUUUGGAGGACGCUCUUCGGGCUUCAACCGUACGUCUCGGGCAGACGGAGGUGCUUUGUUUUUCCUGCGCGCGGAACGGGGAAGCCGAUGAUGCUUGACCGGAGAAACGCGGCGCACGCUCGUGCUCCUUCGCUGUACGCGGGGCGGACGCGGCGUGGUAGUAUACAAGUCCGGCGUGGUGGUUGUUCGGCGACCGACGGUGCCCUCGCGGCCCUGCCGGCAGCCGGUUUGGGAACUUCGCCGCUGGUUCUCGCGAGCUCGCCGGCUUGUUGUUUUGUUUUCCCAGCGGUUCGUUCUGUGCGAUGCCGUUGCCUCUUUGUGGGGUGCCGCUUGUUCUCGCGUAACGCUCAGCGUCUCGCAUGCCGGACCUUCGAUUCCGUGUCCGGUGCGCGAAACUGGUGUUACCUGCCGUCGCUGUCUCUGUGGAUCUGGUACGCAGUCACAAAACGAGUGGAAGUCGCGUAUGCGAUGUAGUGCACGCAGUGUCCGUAGCCUUCGUCGCCAUUCAAUCGCUUGAGUGUCUCAACUGCGCGUCUAAACUUGUCCAAAUAUGCUUGAAAGCGUAAAGCGGGUUGCCAUUGUGUUAUAAUAAUACUAAUAAAAAAUCACUUAUUACUCUCAUUGCAAGUCGUUUCACGGGUGAAAACAAAAUACUGAUAAGAGCUAAAUUCGAACAACAUCCUCCGUUUUCGGGAAUGCGUAAUUAGUUGUCACGAUAGCAGCUGCUGUAGUUAAACCGAAACGCGUGCGGUUUUGAGGUACAGUCGAUUCGUUAUAAAGGAAAGCAUACGAGCGCCUCCCCAAAAAAGCUGUUCGUCGCGUUUCUCCGAUCGGGCUGUGUUUUGUGAUGGUGCGUUACAAACGGCAAGCAUUGUCGACUGGUCGUCGGUGCGCCCCUUUACGGUGGGCUUUCCCGCACGAUCUCGGACCCACGCAAGACAUCGACGCUGCACCGCCGCCACACCGGUUGUUGUGCUUGGUGAUUUUGGUUCUGCUCAUCCACCGGGAAAAAAAGCUUCUGCGAAUGUGUGUUUCUUCGACGUUUGUUGGACAUCGACGACGGCCUCCGGAUUGUGGUCCCGUCACUGAAUCAACCGCUGUGCGUCUAUCCGUGCCACCACCGGAUUUUCGGGGAGAAAAUUGAGAGGUGAUCUCUCAUGAACGCAGUGAUUUUCUUUUUUUUUUCGGCAACGAUGGUGUGAAUCGUUCUGAAAGGUUAAGUUGUCCUCCUCGACACAACGACAGAGAGCAUCCUGAACUGGACGCGGUAUCCUUACGGGCCUCAAGCGAGAACACCUGGGUGGGUGGAGGAGAGCUUCAC
rnacentral:lncRNA from 1 species